GCAACCUUAUUGUGGGGAGAACAACUUCCAUAUGUCAAUGUCUUAAAAUUAUUGAUGAUGAUUUAUCUUAUGGAUCCUAAAAACAUCUCUCAUUCGUUGUUAAAGGUGAUUGAGGAAUAUGAUCCUAUAUUUUUGGUGUUUAUUUUGGAUGGUCCGGAGUUUUUGGCUGCAACUAUGUUGGACAGAGAUAUGCUUGCUAUGGCUGGAAAUUGGUACCAUGUCGGUUGGUUUUGCUUGGCAAGAUUUGUGACGAUGCGUCGGACAAACAACAUUGGGAUAAGAUACAGCCUUGAGCCUUGGCAAGUUAACACAUUAGUUAGGGUUAUGAAGUUUUUCAUGGCACCGACACAUUAUUGAGCAGUAGCGCAUCAGAUGACCAGUGUAUAUCUCUACUUGAGGAAUUCUCCAAAGAUCCAGAGCCGAUUGUUUCAUAGAGCUGUGAAGUUGCUCUAAACAUACUGGAUUUUGAACGAUCCGGCAAACCAUUCGAGUACCUCUUUAUGUAGGCACCUCAAUUGCAGGAGGCAGCAUGAUGGUUUCACUUUGUUGUGUGUUUUGUUACCAUUGAGUACUAAAUGGCAUACAUUUGGAUAGAGUUUUGAAUGAUUUACUCAACAUUAUUAUUUGAAUGGUU